CCCCCCCCCCCGCAAACUGCCCCCACCGGCCGCCGCUCAUUUCUCCGGUUCUCCCAACCUUGAGCCGCCGCCGGCGCCCAGCAUCCCGCUCCGGCGCUCCCGGUGCAUACGGAGGCCAUCCGGUCUGUAGCUUCGCCACUGAGAUCGGAUGGCGAGGAGGUCGAGGAAGAAGCAGCGCGUGCCCAGCCUCUCUGAGGACCUCGUCGUCGAGAUCCUCUCGCGGGUGCCCUACAGGUCGCUGUGCCGGUUCAAGUGAGUGUUCAGAUCCUGGCUCGCCCUCUGCUCCGACCCGGAUCUCCGCAAGAAAUCGCCCCAGACCCUGUCCGGAUUCUUCUGCUUCCGCCGUCCUGAAGACGACGGGACCAACACCUACUGCCUCCCUCAAUAUUAGGCCGGCCGCUGGUAGACCCCUCUCCCCCUCCCUUGGAGGGCUGUGUGUGUCCCCCCCUGUUCAUGGAGUGCUGCAGCAGCCUUCUCCUCUGGAAAGUCUGGAGAUCGUCUCCGUAUGAGCCAGAGUACGUCGUGUCGAAUCCCGCGACUCAGCAAUGGAUCAUGUUGCCACCUACAGAGGCUAGGCACCUUCUGCACUUUGUUCGUUUGGGGUUCGACCCGGUCGUGCCCUCCUGCUUCUAUGUGUUCAUGUUCGUGAAGAGUCCAGAGUAACUGGAGUCGAGAUCUACUCGUCGGAAACUGGAGGUUGGGUUUUCAGGCAGAGUGAGUGGGGCGACUACACUAGAGUGAAGGAUGAUACAGAAACCAUCUUCUUUGAUGGCACCCUCUAUUCAAUUACCACUGAUUUAUCGCUAGCGUCGAUAGACACAGAGGGCAAGACUUGGGGGAAAAUCCGCAUGCCGCAAAGCUACAUUCGACCCAAGAUCAGAAAGGAUGACUGUUUCAUCGCACAUUCUCAGGGCAGAUUGUAUGCUAUGCACAUAGAUUUUCAUAAUGACAACCAGCUAUCAGUUUGGGCACUGGGGGCUAAUGGCAAUGAGCAGUGGAUCCUGGAACAUUCUGUGAACAUCACACACCUCCUUGGAAGGCACAUGUUGGUUGCAGCACAUCCGGAACGUAACUUGAUUUUCCUUACUGGUGGGUUGCGUGAUGAACUCAUGUCGUAUGAUAUGGACAAGAAGGAAGUUCAUGCUAUCUGCACUCUUCAAGAAUACUUUCGGGCCCCAUGUUUGCCCUAUAUUCCCUGCUUUGUGGAAUGGUCUUUGCCUCUUCAGAUGGUCACUAAAAGUUAGAGAAGCUCCUCUUAUGCUAAGUUGGCACGGCAUCAGUGCCUUCAUAGUAAUGGUGCUGGUUAGGGCCUGAACUCCAGUUUUGGGCAGUGGUGACUUGGACAGUACGACCUCCAAAGUGUACAUCAAUUUGGUACUCUCACUGCUGGUGUUCCUUUGUGGCUUCCAGCAACAUUGGUUAGUCAUGUAUCUUAUAGGUGUAACCAAGCUCUAAUAGCCUAAUAGUAGAGUUAUUCAAGUGGAUGCAGUCGUUCUGUUUGCUUUCAUAUUCUAACAGCUGUUGUCAGUUUUUAAGUUGCUAGGUCCUCGUUUUAAGUAAAUGUAACUAAACACAUUAUGUAUGCUGGAGUUUUAUGCAUUCUCACAUCUGUUCUUAAUUUUCUGCAUGUGAUUAUGCAACUUAUUAUUGAAUACUAACUUACUGAAUGUCA